rnacentral:lncRNA from 1 species
GUUUUGGAGCGCGAUGGCGCGACCGCUUUAUUUGCUCUUCAUCCCGUGGAUGCUGCCUUAGAUCAGUCGCAAACAAGCAUUGAUUUUAUGGCGUGUGCUGCAGUUGCCAGAGGAGUGAUGGGGGCUUUCAAGGGUGUGUGAUGGGGGUGCCACCACAGCCACGCAGCUGCCAGAGGGCAGUGGAAACGUGGAGGAGGAAAAUUAAGCUGUGAACUGGAAUUCCAUCAGGCUGUCUGCCGUGAAGCCCUGCGGCUUUAGCAAACAGGCAGCAGUGGUCAGAAAUGACACUCAAAAGAACUGUCUGCAUUAAUAACAAGUACCUCCACUUGGAAAUUAUUUACAUGAAACAUUGUUCUCACAUCACUGCUACUGACAGCGGCUCCGGACUGGGUGAGAGAAGGACACCGUGAUGAAUUUACCCAUACCUACCUUACUGUGCUGCGUGAGACGAGGAGAGCUCAAAGACUUCAGAGAAGUUUGAAACCUUAAUCCCUGAAUAAUGCCUCCACCUGCCUCCUGGUUUUCUUUGGGGACUUUCCAGCGCUGGCCAGUCCUGACCCUAUCUGACUUCAGGGACAAUCCCAGUGUCUUGGGCUCCGAAAAAAGAGUGAAACAGUGACUGGAAAUGGUGCACUCAGCAAGGCUGAUCAUGGGUGCAGCGAAAGCGGUACCUGACCAUGUUAACACCUCCAUCAGGUGCAGGAGCUCAAGGGAGAAGAAUCUCCAGGAACAGAUUUUGACCUCAAGACUAAGGCACGUUACGUGUGUGAAGGCCCAGCACCGCUGCUACGAUCCACAGCACUGCUCCCACAUACUGCGUGAGUGAGGCCCUGCUGAUGUAAUAGUGGCCCGCAUAUGUCUCAUAUUAAUGGUAUUUUCCUAAUAGUAAUAGCAUUAAAGCCUGCCUACCUGGCUAUUGAGUUACCUUAUUUAGGGUAAUUUGCCCAAAAGCCUAUCCUGGAGCAUGUGAACAACCGUAUCAUUUUAUAACACUUAGCUUUAAGAUAUCAGAAAUCAAAGCAGGCAGACAGUCUGAUUCCAGAACUAGUAGUUUUCCAUUUAAAAAAACAAAAACUGUUGUGUUUCUUGAAUAAUUUAUUAUCUGGGUUUCUGUUGCAUUUUCCACAUGGAAUUGAUGAAGAAAAAUUUUUUCUAAAGAAAGUUCGGAUGAGUGAAAAUUCACACAUGGAAAACAAAUGAGCAUCGGGAAGCACUCCUCAUAGCUAAUGGCUACUUGGUCUGGUGCCAGAAUUCAUACAGAUCCUUAAAAUCAAGUAAAUUAUGCCCGCAGUGAUAGCUCCCUUUUGCUGGAGUCCCACAACAAGCACCAAAUGGUGGAGCGGCACAGAACUGCCAAAUUCCAUUUUUCACCUCCCAGUUCCUUUCAGCUGAGCAGCAUCAUUCGCAGCAGAAGGGCCCAUGCAUUUUUUACAGCUCCCCUCCCAGCUGCGUGUGCAGGGCCCGAUCCUGCCUAUGGCACAGGGCUCUGAGGGCAGCGCCUGCCGCGGGGUCAGCAUGUCAGUGAAUGGCAGCGGUGGUGGCAAUCUGACACACGUGUCUUCCCACGGAAGGGAGUGGAAAGAAUUGGGUCUUGAAAAGGAAAUAAUUGUAAAACAAAAGUGUACUUCUCUCACUUUGUCCUUUUGAUAAGAUCGCUUGCUGAGCUCAGAGGUUAGGAGAUGUGCAGCUUGCCAUGCGCCAGAUUAACAACUGCUGAAUUCUGUGCUAGAAAACUCGGCUGGAUUACACAAAUAUCUGUUAAGACAAGGAUAAAUAUUUAUAAACAGUCUUCCUUGCAGAACAUGUCUCCAUCAUUCAUUUCCCCGUGAUGAAAUAUCUGGAACAAUGGAACUAAUGACUACAUUGUUCCAAAGUUAAAUCGUAUAUCUAAUAAGGAAAAUACUAAAAUGAGCCAAAUUCUUUAUGAACACAACAGCGAAGCAAUUAAAAUAAAUGUGAUUUUCCAGAUCAAAACUUCUGGCUGUUAAUUGCUAGAUGGCACCUAUCCUAGUCAUAUGAGUUUCCCUCGCAGCUGUUUUUAUUUCACGAUACAUUCUGGGCUCCCCAGAGCUGUGCUGAGCUCGGACGUGGCGGCAUCGCGCCCGGACAGCUGCGCGGGGCUGCGGGGCUCAUGGAUGCACUGCUGGGACAGGCCUUGGGCCAGGUGCGCUCUCGCUGCUUGCCCUUUGCUUGCCCCGGGGUUCCAGUGGGGAUGAUGGGUGGGCACAAUGGCAUGCCCGCACCAAGCACACAGCACUGCUGCUCCCAGAAAGAGUAUUUUGGAGGAUAUACUUCAGUCAUACACUUUGUCCUAGUCACGGCAUCUGGCUGAGCUCAUACCCUUACCUCUUCGCCCUCUGCAUUUGACUUUUUUUUUUUUUUAAUUUGUUCAUGGGUGCCCUAGCACAGCAGCAGUGGGGCAGGGGCUGCAGCCCCAGCAGGACCAGGGCUCUUUAACCCACCCCACUCCAGAGCUGAAACUGCACACUGGAAAUCUGGCACGCUCCAGCCAGCUUUACUUGAAGCUGCACUUUGGUAUCUGUAGGUUAUUAAUGAGAUUAAAGAACUCUGUUACAGGGAAUGACAACUGCAGUUUGUCCAACAUUAAGCAGAUAUUGGCAUCCUUAGGUGUGAGUCGGGAGGCAGUGAUCUCAGAUAUUGAACGAGCUAAAGCCAUGAGCAAUAUGAUAUUGAUUAGACAAUGGGUAUUGUAUUUACCCACAUAGCUUUAUUGGGUGAGGCUCAAUGUGAUGUUUUUAUUUGGGAAACUUAAGAAAGAUAAUUAAAAAUGCUGUAAGGAGAGCCCAGCAGCCUUUGUGCUUUGCCUUUUAAAGGCUGCAGAUGUCCUGUCUUCUUUCUUUAAAACGGCAUGUGCUCCCUCUCCACCUUCCAAAAGAUCAAGGGUAAUAAUAACAACAAUAAUAAUACAGUGUCCUGGAAUUUUUCUACAUGCCUCAGGAGAACUUUAAUUUUUUCCAGAAACUGUUUUCUGACAACAGCCGCCCCGUGGACUUUUCCUGUUCCCCAGAAUGCAUUUCCAGUGCUGCUGCGGCCAAGUUAAAAUGGUGUCUUUUGGAUAUAAGGCCUUUUAUGUAGAAAACCUUUCUCUUGCUGAACAAAACCCUGCCUGCAGCGUGGGGCAACCCUGACCCGGUGAGCAGGUAGUGUUGUGCACUUUGAGCCUGUGCACCACGGGCAGCCCAGUGUGGCCUUGAUGACAGAAUUCGGGAGCCUUACUCGCAUCCACAGACGGCCCAGUGCUCGAAGCAUGCACAGAGGAUGCAUCCUGUCCACCUCUUCCGCUGUUUCUCCCAUCAGUUGCAUUCCCUUUCCCCAAGGGCUUUUUUCCAUUUUUUUAACUUUAUAAUCCCACAGCAAUGCCCAGCCCAGCUGCAUUCCCAUCUUGCAUCAGAAGGCUGACUCACUGCAGCGCUCAGCUCGGUUGCAUUUCCCUUCCAUGGGACAUGGGUCCACAUGGCUGCAGACAGGGCCUGGGCCUGGCACACAGCGAGGCAUGCACCCAGCUCAGGGCUGAGGCCAGCGCCCGUGUGCCACCCUCUUUGCCUCUGCCAAGGUCUUUCAAGCUGAGGUGUGAUGGCUCAGCCUUUCUCCUCCCUCCACGGAUGGCUGCUGCUGUAACUCCCCAAGCUUUUGGCCAUGGGCUGUUUAAUAUUUUCUUCCAGCUCAGCCAUCUCCAGUCACCAGAGCUGCUGCCGGCUCUACUCCCAUGGGUGAGGCAGCUUCUCACAGCCACCACUUCCUCUGCUCUUCAACCUGAUGCUUUCCAGCUCUGCGCUUUGCAAGGGGAGGCAAAGGAGCGUGUGCCGAGCCUCCAUCUGCACCACAUCACGGGAAUACAAAAUGGCACCGAAUCCUACUUUUCCUCAUUAGAUGUGGGCAAACUUGGCUGGAGCGCAAGUGCGAAAGCUCAUCUUUCUUCAGCUGCUUGUAAUUCAUGCUUGAGCAAGAGCAUUAUUUGGGGCUUAAGUCAGAGUCUUCUAAGUAGGUCACAGUUCUUCUAGACCCAAACUCCUGCAUAUGACUUCUGAGAAAUGCAGAUCCCUGUCCUCCUGAUUAGUGAAACACCUCAGGAGCCCUCUUUUCAGUUUUAUCAGCUCCUCAAAUGAAUCCAUAAAACAAAUAGUUACUAAGAAGUUGCUUCCUGCAUAGGGUUCAGACUUGGAAAAAUUCCUCUGCCUUGGGUGGCAGCCAUUUCUGUCUCAUUUGCAUGGCUAGUUUCUUGCAUUUUAAGGAUGCUCCACUGUAGCCAGGUAAAUGGAUGCACCCCGCAACUCCUCUAGUCUUUGCAUCAACAAGAGGACAAAAAGCUACGGAGAAGGCAAGGAAGCUCCAGCCUACAGGGGCUGUGCUGGCUGAAACACAUGCAGUGCAGUCCAUGCUGUAAAACAGCAUUCAUUUUAGUGGUGCAGAGGCUGAUUUGCCAAAUCAUCACAGCAUGUGUUAGAUGUUAAUCCUAGUCUUUAGAAUAGAACUACAGCUUCAGACACACCCGGAGAUAAAAUGAGGGAAAUACAAGAGCUCAACAAGAAGCAGAGUGAAGUGGAAUGGCACAGUGCAAGGAUGUGUUAAGAGCUCUUUGAGGCACUGGUGGCAUAAGUAAGUUUUCCUGGUAUUUCUGCAGGGCAGUUCUGAAUGCCUAUAGCAGCUCACCACCUGCGUUUGAAAAUGAUAGCAUUUGCUUUUUUCAGUCAUCUAGAAAUUAAGCUUUACCUCCUCCUUCAGUAGCAGGAUGAGUCUGGACUGCAGUGACAUGAGGGAGAAGUCAGAACCAAACAUACUCUAUAUCUCUCGCCGGAGGAGAAGAGUUGCAGUUAAGUCUGAUUUUAGUUGAGUCAUUUGGCCAGGGGAGAUUAUCCAUAGGUAUGGAUUGCAGUUGUCAGCAGCCACAUGUUGUUGGGGCAUUUCUUUGCAUUACGGUACUAUGCAUUUAGAUUUUUGCCCUUUACUGCUGCUUUAGUGUGCAAUGGUGAAGUGCUGGAGCUCAGCUCUGUGGCUGCAUUCGGAUCCCUGAAAUGAGCUCAAGUGCUAUUUUACCAUAGAAUACAGGAUGCCUUCGUGCUUUUAUGCUUUAUUUUUGAUUCUAUGAGGUUAUUUUAACUUCCUUGUCUGAAAAGAAACAAAAUGUUAGAUGUCUAAUUGAAUGGACUGCUGGAAAAGAUGCAUAAAAAGGUCUGGCACGUGAACUUCUGUGAAGCAAAUGCCUUUGUUUCCAAACAGGCCAGCGAUAACAAAUAUUUAUUGACAUUUUCCUUCCACAGGGGCGUUAACAAUUAUAAUUUGCUAGUACGUACCUCAUGAGUCCUUACAGGUUUUGAACAGAACAUCUGUUGGUCAAAGAUGAAAAAGAAGGUUGAAAAAAAAAUCUGUUUUUCCAGGGUUAUGAAACUAACAGCAUCACAAAUUAUCGCUAGGAAAACAGUUCAAAAGCCUGAACUUGCACUUGUGGAAAAAGGAACACAGAUAGAGGAAACAGAUAAAAACGCGUCGUGUUGGUAGGCUUUGUUUUCUGCAAUGAUGUAUUGUUCCAGCAAAGCGGUUAACAAACAAAUUAUUGUCUGCGUCCAAAACAGCCAAAUCUUUGGUUCCACUGAACAGAUGUUAAGGUGAAGCAGAUUAAAGCCAAAUUCACAAUAGGGCUGCUCCACAGGAAAGGUGCCCUAAGUUUAUCUAUUGUUAAAUAAUAUAAUUUAUCGUCUUAGAGGGCUACGGAGUGAUUUCUGUUCCUUUUCUACUUUUUGAACAAAGAUUUAUAACAUAGAUAAUCCCCAAUUUUAGAUAUUUGCUGCAGGUUAUAUUUGAAGGAAUUUCCCAAAAGACUGAUAACCCCUUUUUUUCCCUUAACCACAGUCAAACCAGUGAACUAAUAUGAUGCCUGCUUCAAAUAAAUGUAUUUGCUGCCUCUGUGCAUGAUAAGUUUUCAUUUAGUCUACGAUCAGCUGACAGUAUGCAAGUUUGCAGAUACCAGUAAUUGAAUACAGAUAACCUUGGUUGUUGACCUAUGCAGAGCCAUGGCUGUCUAGUUUCCAUUGUUUCUGUUUUUGCUAGUUGACACAAAACUGAUGUGGGCUGAAUUUAUAUAUUAGCCAUCCAUUAUAGUGGGAAUUGCUUAUCAUUGUGGAUGGAUAUUGCAAGAAGUUUCUAUUUAUUUAACCUAAUAAGAUGGCAGAAACGAACCUGAUUGGGCCCACUCAGGAUCAGAAUUAACCCUUAGUGGUCCAGUUAAUUGCUGCAUGGUUAACAAGUCAUGUAAAGGAUGCCUGCCUUAUUUCUAUUUUUUACAUAAUGAUUUUCUUUUCAGUUAGAGGGAUUAUUUCAUUUAGCAAACAAUCCUUGCCAUAUUGAGAAACUGAAUCUGAGGGUUGCAAAAGAGUCAGAUAGUGCCGGAUAUCUAAAUCCUCUUGACUUCUGGCCCCGGCCAAUGACCAUUCUCCCAGAGCUCAGUGGAAGCCCAGACUGAACAGACGGUGAGGUGGACGUUAGCACAUGGUGCCAGGGUCAGCGGUGGCACAGUCCCCAUCAGUGCUCCUCCAAGCUCUCAUACACUGGAGUCAGAUUGAGAUGUCUUUGGUUGUCUGCAGUGUUUCUGACAAGCUUGGUUUUAACAUCACACUGGCCACAGUUAGUUGUGUGCCUUUCCAGCUACCUGUAAGGUUAUUUAGAUCCAGAAUAGUUUUACAAAUGCAGUUGCUUACACAGAAGAUCCUGUGAAGGUGAAGGAUGAAGGUUCCUGUUACAGCCUAGGGAUGACCGAUCCACUGGCUGGGUAAGGAUGGUAACAAAAGCAGAAAGCCAUCUUUUUUAUUGCUAUUAAAACAGCAUUCAAACUCUGAUCCCACUGAGUUCAAGGCAGCUAGCUGAUCAGUUCUUAGCAUUUUGAGCAGCUUUUCUCCCACCUUAGAGGAGCAGAAGAAAUCUUGCCUGAUGUAGCAAGUGAGGGCUGAGCGGUGGUCAUCAAGUGUGGGCUCAUGAAUGGGCACUUCAGCCCCUUCCUGCACUGCUGUUUGGGCCCUGCUAAUGCUGUGCACCACGACUCACGCAAGGUUUUGUUCAAGAACAUGAAAGCAAAAUGGCCAGCUUGAAUCCUGAUCACCUUGUGGAAUACAGUAAUGUGCACAGAAACACAAUACAGCUGCUUGUAUUACAAUUCCUACUUUUAGCCCUUUUCAGAGCAGCAAAAGCGAGUAACAUGAAGUCCCAGUACAGCUGAAAUCUGGUUUUGUUAAGCUGCGGUGUCAAUCAGGUUGGCUAAGCUGACCUGGCUUCUGAGAUGGUAUGAGUUUGUUUAUUUUAGUUUAUUUUGUAAAUGUCCUCCUUUGCAAAUACAAUCUUAAAAAUCUAGGGAACUAUAAAAAGGAAACCUUUAAGCAUCCUUUUCUGUCCACCUUUCUGAACUACCUUGCUUAGGGACUGCUUAGGAGGAUGGAUUGACCCAGGAUGCUGUGGGAAUGCUGCACCCGGUUAAGGUCUCGCAUUCCUCUU